AUACGUAGGGGGCAAGCGUUAUCCGGAUUUACUGGGUGUAAAGGGAGCGUAGACGGUGUGGCAAGUCUGAUGUGAAAGGCAUGGGCUCAACCUGUGGACUGCAUUGGAAACUGUCAUACUUGAGUGCCGGAGGGGUAAGCGGAAUUCCUAGUGUAGCGGUGAAAUGCGUAGAUAUUAGGAGGAACACCAGUGGCGAAGGCGGCUUACUGGACGGUAACUGACGUUGAGGCUCGAAAGCGUGGGGAGC
rnacentral:rRNA from 1 species